AACGAACGCUGGCGGCAUGCUUAACACAUGCAAGUCGAACGAGACCUUCGGGUCUAGUGGCGCACGGGUGCGUAACGCGUGGGAAUCUGCCCUUUGCUACGGAAUAACUCAGAGAAAUUUGUGCUAAUACCGUAUAAGGUCGUAAGACCAAAGAUUUAUCGGCAAAGGAUGAGCCCGCGUAAGAUUAGCUUGUUGGUGAGGUAAAGGCUCACCAAGGCGACGAUCUUUAGCUGGUCUGAGAGGAUGAUCAGCCACACUGGGACUGAGACACGGCCCCGACUCCUACGGGAGGCAGCAGUGGGGAAUAUUGGACAAUGGGCGAAAGCCUGAUCCAGCAAUGCCGCGUGAGUGAUGUAGGCUUUAGGGUUGUAAAGCUCUUUUACCAGGGAUGAUAAUGACAGUACCUGGAGAAUAAGCUCCGGCUAACUCCGUGCCAGCCGCCGCCGUAACAC
rnacentral:rRNA from 1 species